UGCCGCCGGGGUUUUCCUGCCGCGCCCACGUGCGGCUCCGUGGAAAGGUCGCGGCCUGCGGGCGGCCCCCUCAUCGCCCCCGGUCGGUCCGCAGACCAGGCAGGGGACACGAGGCUGUCCAGGGGCGAGCCCACCCUGCAGACCCAGGCGGGAGGGCCGAGGCCGGGCACGGUCGCGCUCGCAGCUCAGGCCGCCGCAGCCCCGGGACAGAGAGGUGGCUGGCCCGGCCUCACAGUUUCGGUUCGGAGGCAAAUCGCAGCAGCGUGCCAAGACCAGCUGGGCCAGGAGCACGACUUCCUGGGGGCAGGAGGAGGGAGAAAAAAAGAGGCAAAGAUUUGUUGGACUUGGGUGGCGCCGGCUGCAGAGAGAAGACGCACUGUUUUUGCAAAGGAGCCCGGAGCUGCUAACAGGGACUUAAGUAACACUUCCUGGGCAGCGGGCUGCAGACGAGGAAGUGUCCUCCCACCAGGGACCGACCCCCACAACACCUUGAUCUCGGACUCCCAGCCUCCAGAAUGAGAUGAACAAUUCUUAUCCCCAAGGAGAGCCUUCCAGGUGGAGGUAGUCAUCAUGCGAACCCGGAGAUGUUGGUUUUGCUUCCCUGUGCCCACCAACAGUGAGGAUUUCAGAACCCACAUCUGGUCUUCUCUUAGGUGAUGAGAAGCUGAAACAGUCUUUUCAAGGACCUGAGCCUCUCAGCCCAGCAGCCUGCAAGGGCUGAGCCCUCCCAAUAAUGGUAUGAGUGAACUUGGAGGUGAGCCCCGCCCCAGCUGACCCCUUAAUUGCAGUUUUGUGAAGCCAUGAACCAGACACCCCAGCUGAGCCAUACGCAGGUUCUGACCCACACAAACACAGAUAAGAAAUGUGAGUUGCUGUAAGCCCACUACGCUUUGGACUA